UUUAUUUGUGCCUUUAUGAAUUUUGAUAUAUGUAGUUCUUUAUUGAUUGAUUGGUUUGUCUGCAGUGAGGAUCCUGACAUUCACUUUAAGUACAUUGAGGCAGCUGCCUAGACCGGAAAAAUCAAGAUAGGUUGAGCGUGUCCUGAAGAUUUCAUCAAAGGGCUUAUCCUAUCUGUCCGUUCUCUGCUUCCAGUUGAGCUCAUUUAGUGGUAGGGCAGCUCUUCUUCAAGAAAUGGCACUGAAGCUGUCCUAUACGUUUUUUUGGGUUGAUUGUCAAUGCUUGGUAGUGAGUUUAGUUGAUUAACAAAAUAUACAUAGAAUAUAUGUGGCACAGCUGUAUCUGUGCAGAUAGCUAAGACACAUGAUUUUAUUUUGUUAUUUUUUUAUUCAAUUUUUUGGGGCGAAGAGGAAUCUGGACUGUUAAUUGCUAGUAUGUUUUUAAAGAAAUUUGGUCAUAUAUAUAAUCUUCUCAAGCAUUUGG
rnacentral:lncRNA from 1 species